UACGUAGGGGGCGAGCGUUGUCCGGAAUCAUUGGGCGUAAAGAGCGUGUAGGUGGACUGGAAGGUCUGGUGUGAAAGCCCGGGGCUCAACCCCCGGAGGGUCACUGGAAACCAACAGUCUUGAGUCCGGAAGAGGAGAGUGGAAUUCCUAGUGUGAGCGGUGGAAUGCGCAGAUAUUAGGAGGAACACCAAUGGCGAAGGCAGCUCUCUGGUACGUGACUGACACUGAGGAGCAGAAAGCGGUGGG
rnacentral:rRNA from 1 species